GGUUAAGCGACUAAGCGUACACGGUGGAUGCCCUGGCAGUCAGAGGCGAUGAAGGACGUGCUAAUCUGCGAUAAGCGUCGGUGAGGUGAUAUGAACCGUUAUAACCGGCGAUUUCCGAAUGGGGAAACCCAGUGUGUUUCGACACACUAUCAUUAACUGAAUCCAUAGGUUAAUGAGGCGAACCGGGGGAACUGAAACAUCUAAGUCAGUAGCGGCGAGCGAACGGGGAGGAGCCCAGAGCCUGAAUCAGUGUGUGUGUUAGUGGAAGCGUCUGGAAAGGCGCGCGAUACAGGGUGACAGCCCCGUACACAAAAAUGCACAUAUUGUGAGCUCGAUGAGUAGGGCGGGACACGUGGUAUCCUGUCUGAAUAUGGGGGACCAUCCUCCAAGGCUAAAUACUCCUGACUGACCGAUAGUGAACCAGUACCGUGAGGGAAAGGCGAAAAGAACCCCGGCGAGGGGAGUGAAAAAGAACCUGAAACCGUGUACGUACAAGCAGUGGGAGCCUCUUAAUGGGGUGACUGCGUACCUUUUGUAUAAUGGGUCAGCGACUUAUAUUCUGUAGCAAGGUUAACCGAAUAGGGGAGCCGAAGGGAAACCGAGUCUUAACUGGGCGUUAAGUUGCAGGGUAUAGACCCGAAACCCGGUGAUCUAGCCAUGGGCAGGUUGAAGGUUGGGUAACACUAACUGGAGGACCGAACCGACUAAUGUUGAAAAAUUAGCGGAUGACUUGUGGCUGGGGGUGAAAGGCCAAUCAAACCGGGAGAUAGCUGGUUCUCCCCGAAAGCUAUUUAGGUAGCGCCUCGUGAAUUCAUCUCCGGGGGUAGAGCACUGUUUCGGCAAGGGGGUCAUCCCGACUUACCAACCCGAUGCAAACUGCGAAUACCGGAGAAUGUUAUCACGGGAGACACACGGCGGGUGCUAACGUCCGUCGUGAAGAGGGAAACAACCCAGACCGCCAGCUAAGGUCCCAAAGUCAUGGUUAAGUGGGAAACGAUGUGGGAAGGCCCAGACAGCCAGGAUGUUGGCUUAGAAGCAGCCAUCAUUUAAAGAAAGCGUAAUAGCUCACUGGUCGAGUCGGCCUGCGCGGAAGAUGUAACGGGGCUAAACCAUGCACCGAAGCUGCGGCAGCGACACUAUGUGUUGUUGGGUAGGGGAGCGUUCUGUAAGCCUGUGAAGGUGGCCUGUGAGGGUUGCUGGAGGUAUCAGAAGUGCGAAUGCUGACAUAAGUAACGAUAAAGCGGGUGAAAAGCCCGCUCGCCGGAAGACCAAGGGUUCCUGUCCAACGUUAAUCGGGGCAGGGUGAGUCGACCCCUAAGGCGAGGCCGAAAGGCGUAGUCGAUGGGAAACAGGUUAAUAUUCCUGUACUUGGUGUUACUGCGAAGGGGGGACGGAGAAGGCUAUGUUGGCCGGGCGACGGUUGUCCCGGUUUAAGCGUGUAGGCUGGUUUUCCAGGCAAAUCCGGAAAACCAAGGCUGAGGCGUGAUGACGAGGCACUACGGUGCUGAAGCGACAAAUGCCCUGCUUCCAGGAAAAGCCUCUAAGCAUCAGGUAACAUCAAAUCGUACCCCAAACCGACACAGGUGGUCAGGUAGAGAAUACCAAGGCGCUUGAGAGAACUCGGGUGAAGGAACUAGGCAAAAUGGUGCCGUAACUUCGGGAGAAGGCACGCUGAUAUGUAGGUGAAGCGACUUGCUCGUGGAGCUGAAAUCAGUCGAAGAUACCAGCUGGCUGCAACUGUUUAUUAAAAACACAGCACUGUGCAAACACGAAAGUGGACGUAUACGGUGUGACGCCUGCCCGGUGCCGGAAGGUUAAUUGAUGGGGUUAGCGGUAACGCGAAGCUCUUGAUCGAAGCCCCGGUAAACGGCGGCCGUAACUAUAACGGUCCUAAGGUAGCGAAAUUCCUUGUCGGGUAAGUUCCGACCUGCACGAAUGGCGUAAUGAUGGCCAGGCUGUCUCCACCCGAGACUCAGUGAAAUUGAACUCGCUGUGAAGAUGCAGUGUACCCGCGGCAAGACGGAAAGACCCCGUGAACCUUUACUAUAGCUUGACACUGAACAUUGAGCCUUGAUGUGUAGGAUAGGUGGGAGGCUUUGAAGUGUGGACGCCAGUCUGCAUGGAGCCGACCUUGAAAUACCACCCUUUAAUGUUUGAUGUUCUAACGUGGGCCCCUAAUCGGGGUUGCGGACAGUGUCUGGUGGGUAGUUUGACUGGGGCGGUCUCCUCCUAAAGAGUAACGGAGGAGCACGAAGGUUGGCUAAUCCUGGUCGGACAUCAGGAGGUUAGUGCAAUGGCAUAAGCCAGCUUGACUGCGAGCGUGACGGCGCGAGCAGGUGCGAAAGCAGGUCAUAGUGAUCCGGUGGUUCUGAAUGGAAGGGCCAUCGCUCAACGGAUAAAAGGUACUCCGGGGAUAACAGGCUGAUACCGCCCAAGAGUUCAUAUCGACGGCGGUGUUUGGCACCUCGAUGUCGGCUCAUCACAUCCUGGGGCUGAAGUAGGUCCCAAGGGUAUGGCUGUUCGCCAUUUAAAGUGGUACGCGAGCUGGGUUUAGAACGUCGUGAGACAGUUCGGUCCCUAUCUGCCGUGGGCGCUGGAGAACUGAGGGGGCUGCUCCUAGUACGAGAGGACCGGAGUGGACGCAUCACUGGUGUUCGGGUUGUCAUGCCAAUGGCACUGCCCGGUAGCUAAAUGCGGAAGAGAUAAGUGCUGAAAGCAUCUAAGCACGAAACUUGCCCCGAGAUGAGUUCUCCCUGAGACUUAGAGUCUCCUGAAGGAACGUUGAAGACGACGACGUUGAUAGGCCGGGUGUGUAAGCGCAGCGAUGCGUUGAGCUAACCGGUACUAAUGAACCGUGAGGCUUAACCUU
rnacentral:rRNA from 1 species